GGCACGCUGCCCAUUUCUGUUCCAAGCGUUACAGGAACUUAAAUGCAGUCCUCGGGUGGGAAGCUCUUUGGCGCAGCACUGAGCCGCCACUUCUGACUCCUCCUUCCGCCACCUGCUCUGUGCUCUGCAGACCACACUUAGUCCCUGACUGCUUUCAGCCCAAGGACGCUUGCCUUUCACUUCACCGGAGCUCUCCUGCCAGGAGUCCCGGGCAAACACCUCAUUCCCCCCUUGCUGGGGACUCGAUGCAAGUAUGGGCACGAGAGAAGGAAAGACAGCAUCCUCAGCAGGCCCCACGCCAUCAAUGCAGAGCCGUAUGCAGGGCUUGAAUUCACAAACGGCUUCACACCCAGCACAAAGCCCAAGGCAG